UACGUAGGGUCCGAGCGUUGUCCGGAAUUACUGGGCGUAAAGAGCUCGUAGGUGGUUUGUCGCGUUGUUCGUGAAAACUCACAGCUUAACUGUGGGCGUGCGGGCGAUACGGGCAGACUGGAGUACUGCAGGGGAGACUGGAAUUCCUGGUGUAGCGGUGGAAUGCGCAGAGUAUCAGGAGGAACACCCGGGUGGCGAAGGCGGGUCUC
rnacentral:rRNA from 1 species